UGCCAGCCGCCGCGGUAAUACGGAGGGUCCAAGCGUUAUCCGGAUUCAUUGGGUUUAAAGGGUGCGCAGGCGGGCCUUUAAGUCAGUGGUGAAAUCUUGCCGCUUAACGGUAAAAUUGCCAUUGAAACUGAAGGUCUUGAAUAUGGUUGAGGUCGGCGGAAUGUGUUGUGUAGCGGUGAAAUGCAUAGAUAUGACACAGAACGCCGGUUGCGAAGGCAGCUUACUAAGCCAUUAUUGACGCUGAGGCACGAAAGCGUGGGGAGCGAACAGGAUUAGAUA
rnacentral:rRNA from 1 species